AUUAGAUACCCUGGUAGUCCGCACGGUAAACGAUGGAUGCCCGCCGUUGGGUAUUUUUAUUCAGUGGCCAAGCGAAAGCGUUAAGCAUCCCACCUGGGGAGUACGCCGGCAACGGUGAAACUCAAAGGAAUUGACGGGGGCCCGCACAAGCGGAGGAACAUGUGGUUUAAUUCGAUGAUACGCGAGGAACCUUACCCGGGCUUGAAUUGCAGAUGACGGAUCCAGAGAUGGUGACUUCCUUCGGGACAUCUGUGAAGGUGCUGCAUGGUUGUCGUCAGCUCGUGCCGUGAGGUGUCGGCUUAAGUGCCAUAACGAGCGCAACCCCUUUCGUCAGUUGCCAUCGGGUAAUGCCGGGCACUCUGGCGACACUGCCGCCGCAAGGUGUGAGGAAGGUGGGGAUGACGUCAAAUCAGCACGGCCCUUACGUCCGGGGCUACACACGUGUUACAAUGGGGCAUACAGAGAGUUGGUCAUGCGCAAGCAUGAUCGGAUCAUGAAAGUGUCCCUCAGUUCGGACUGGGGUCUGCAACCCGACCCCACGAAGCUGGAUUCGCUAGUAAUCGCGCAUCAGCCAUGGCGCGGUGAAUACGUUCCCGGGCCAUGUACACACCGCCCGUCAAGCCAUGAAAGCCGGGGGCGCCUGAAGUCCGUGACCGCGAGAGGGGGCCUAGGGUGAAACCGGUGAUUGGGGCUAAGUCGUAACAAGGUAAC
rnacentral:rRNA from 1 species